GUUUAUGGCCAUACCAGCCCAAAUGUGCCCAAUCUCAUCUGAUCUCAGCAGCAAAGCAGGGUCAGGCGUGGUAGGCUUUAAAAA
rnacentral:rRNA from 1 species